UACGUAGGGUGCGAGCGUUGUCCGGAAUUAUUGGGCGUAAAGAGCUCGUAGGCGGUUUGUCGCGUCUGCUGUGAAAACCGGAGGCUCAACCUCCGGCCUGCAGUGGGUACGGGCAGACUAGAGUGCGGUAGGGGAGAUUGGAAUUCCUGGUGUAGCGGUGGAAUGCGCAGAUAUCAGGAGGAACACCGAUGGCGAAGGCAGAUCUCUGGGCCGUAACUGACGCUGAGGAGCGAAAGCAUGGGGAGCGAACAGG
rnacentral:rRNA from 1 species